rnacentral:tRNA from 1 species
CCCUGGGUGGUGUACACGGUUAACAUGUUUGGCUGCUAACCAAAAAGUUGAUGGUCCGAGUCUACCUAGGGG